rnacentral:rRNA from 1 species
UACGGAGGGUGCAAGCGUUGUUCGGAAUCACUGGGCGUAAAGGGCGUGUAGGCGGCCGGCUAAGUCUGAUGUGAAAGCCCGGGGCUCACCCCCGGAAGGGCAUUGGAUACUGGCAGGCUCGAGUCCCGGAGAGGAGGGUGGAAUUCCUGGUGUAGCGGUGAAAUGCGUAGAUAUCUGGAGGAAUACCGGUGGCGAAGGCGGCAUCCUGGACCAUUACUGACGCUGAGGCGCGAAAGCUAGGGGAGCAAACGGG